rnacentral:rRNA from 1 species
UACGAAGGGUGCAAGCGUUGCUCGGAAUUAUUGGGCGUAAAGGGUAGGUAGGUGGUUACGUAUGUCUGGGGUGAAAUCCCUGAGCUCAACUCAGGAAGUGCCUUGGAAACGGCGUAACUAGAAUACUGGAGAGGUCUGUAGAAUUCCUGGUGUAGCGGUGAAAUGCGUAGAGAUCAGGAGGAAUACCAGAGGCGAAGGCGGCAGACUGGACAGUUAUUGACACUAAACUACGAAAGCGUGGGGAGCAAACAAG